GCUCCAGUGGCGCAAUUGGUCAGUGCGCGGUACUUAUAAUGCCGAGGUUGUGAGUUCGAGCCUCACCUGGAGCA
rnacentral:tRNA from 1 species